rnacentral:lncRNA from 1 species
ACUUGAAGAACAGGAUUUGGUUUGCCGAUUCAGACACACAUAGGAAACCAUGGCUAUCAUGCGCGGCGGAUCGAUUAGCACAGCAGCCGGCGAAAUGACUGGAUCCGCGUCCGGAUCCGAUCAGUAGUCGUCGUCGUAGCCGCCGCCGUAAUCGUCGUAGCCGCCCCCGUAGCCGCCGCCGCCGCCGUACGAGUCCUCCCUCUCCAGCUUCUCCUCCACCCUCUCCGAGACGCGCUCCUCCAACUUGUUCUCCAGCAAGCUCGCCCCGCCGGCCAGCGCCAGGCCCCCGAGCACGCCCGCCGCCGCGCCGACGGCCAACCCCGUCC